rnacentral:lncRNA from 1 species
CGCCCACAGUAACCAGCCCACUACCGUGGAUUCCUGGCCGUGUGUGGAGACGGCUCUGCAGUGCCGGACAUCUCCCCUCCCCAGAUGCCAAGCUUCUUUUCAAGUUUGAAAGUGAAUAUGGUUUUGUGAGUGAAUACCGCAGACAAAAUUCACAGUACUUCUCCGCAGUUUCUACGUGU